GCCCCCGUAGCUCAGCGGAUUAGAGCGCUUCGCUUCGGACGAAGAUGUCGGGAGUUCAAAUCUCUCCGGGGGCG
rnacentral:tRNA from 1 species